rnacentral:tRNA from 1 species
GGAAAGCAGUGGCUCAGUGCUAGAGCAUCUGCUUGGCAUGCAGAAGGUCCCAGGUUCAAUCCCCAGCCUCUCCA